GAUUACCCUCAUAAAGGACUGUCUGCAGGUUAACGAUUCGCCUUAGAGUUGAUCAGGUUCGGAUGAUGCAGCUGGGUCCUAUGCUCCAAGUCGAUGAGUCCUUCCUUCGGUGAGUCCUGUGGGAACGCUGAGUAACACGUUGUGACUGCCUGAAGAGGGGACAACCCGGGAACUGGGCUAAUACCUCAUGUGAUCCAGAGAGUAGAGGUCUUGGAUGAAUGGAGCAAUCCGCUUCGGAGGGCCUGCGGCUAUCAGCUAGUUGUAGGGUAACGGCCUACCAUGGCGACGACGGUAGGGGCUUGAGAGGGUGAUCCCCCACACUGGAACUGAAACACGGACCAGACACCUACGGGUGGCAGCAGUAGGGAAUUUGCCCAAUGGACGAAAGUCUGAGGCAGCAACGCCGCGUGCGCGAUGAAGGCCUUCGGGUCGUAAAGCGCUUUUCUGGGGGACGAGAUAGGACGGUACCCCAGGAAUAAGUCUCGGCUAACUACGUGCCAGCAGCCGCGGUAAAACGUAGGAGGCAAGCGUUAUCCGGAUUUACUGGGCGUAAAGCGCGUGCAGGCGGUCUGGUAAGUCGGACGUGAAAUCUCCUGGCUCAACUAGGAGAGGCCGUUCGAUACUGCCGGACUGGAGGGCAGCAGAGGGAGGUGGAAUUCCGGGUGUAGCGGUGAAAUGCGUAGAUAUCCGGAGGAACACCAGUGGCGAAAGCGGCCUCCUGGACUGUCCCUGACGCUAAGACGCGAAAGCUAGGGGAGUGAACGGGGUUAGAAACCCCGGUAAUCCUAGCUGUAAACGAUGCAGACUUGGUGUUGGUGGUCUAAACCCCAUCAGUGCCGUAGCAAACGCGAUAAGUC
rnacentral:rRNA from 1 species